rnacentral:lncRNA from 1 species
AGCCAAUUACUCAACACAGAAAAUUACAAAUUGGCACAGCAAGGCAUGUUCAAGGGAAAACCUGGCAUUGUGUACACAGACCCUGAGAGAUACCGUACAGCAAGAACUGGUUUAAUUUAUGGGCUUCAGUUACUUCACAUUGUAAGUCAUUGUGCACAACUUUAUAAUAGUGUGUGUUAAUAUUUCUCUGCCAUUACAAUAUAGUGAUGUGACUGUGUUCUUAUUCGACUGUGUUAACCCAUUGAGUUGCAUUGUGCCCUACUUUAUUAUUUUACUUUGUCUAACACCAGACUAUUUUACUCGUUAAUGGGUAUAACUGUCCUAUCCGCCCAUGUGUCUUGUUAACCCAUCGAGUUGCAUCGUGCCCUGAUGCACCCUAUUUUAAUGAUUAUGCUACUCUGUUUAACGCAAGAUUAUUUCACUAUGUCUAAUAGACUAAUACCAGAUUGAUUACAGUGAUUACAGUUUUUGAAGAAAGAAUUGUUUAUUAUCCGUACAUGGAUUAAACCAUUAACCUAUAUUAAGAUACUUAAUCUAUAUAAAACCUUAAUCUAUAAGUGUAUUAUAGAAUUAGAACUUGACUAUAUAUGUGUGUUUUAAAUUAAUCUGUAUAGAAAUUUAUUCUAUGUUUGAUCUUUUUGUAGAGUUACAAAACCGUUGUAUCAUGGCAGCUUUGACAUAUGUCCUUGAGGAGAAGGAGCAUACCUCAGGAGAACAUUCCUUUAAUUAAAGUUGUUCUUG